rnacentral:misc_RNA from 1 species
GUCAUAGUCCGCGGGUUUAUUUGCUGCUCUCACCAGAAUAGCUAGCAGGAAUACUAAUGCCUCCAAUAUGAUCACACCCAGAGCAACCCAUUUUGCAAUCUUCCAGUUUGCCUCCAGAAAAUUAUAUAUCAUGUCAAAGUCCCCAGUUUUGUCAGCCGGAAUCACAUCUUUCCAACUAUGGUCGAAGAAUAUGAAAGCAGCAGCUCCUAGCUCAAUGAGGAUCAACAAGAUCACCAAGAAAGCAUAACAAGACAGGCAGCAACCAGCCCUCGUUACUGCUCCAAUACAGCCAAAGAAUGAUAUUACGAAGAGAAUAACCCCAACACCAAUAAAUAAGUAAAUGAACCAAGCUUUCGGUAGCUUAUCAAGAAUGCUCUCCGACAACGAAACCAGAGCCAGCAUCGGCCGCCCCAGCUUCAACAUCUCGGGAUUGGCGCUCGUCGGCGACACCGCAUCGCCGCCUCCGCCCGACGACACUCGCUGCCACUCCACCAGCAAAUAUAUUCCGUACCCCACCAUCGCCAACCCGGAGACCGUCAAGAGAAAGUUGAGAAGCUUCAGCAGGCACUCCAGGAACCCCCGGCACGCCAUGAUCGCCGAUUCCCUCAAA